GAUGAACGCUAGCGGCAGGCCUAAUACAUGCAAGUCGAACGGUAAAUAUUUUAGCAAUAGAAUAUGAGAGUGACGUACGGGUGCGUAACACGUAUACGACCUACCUUGUACAGGAGGAUAGCUCGGGGAAACUCGGAUUAACCCUCCGUAAUAUCAUUGGGAGGCAUCUUUUGAUGAUUAAAACUCAGGUGGUACAAGCUGGGCAUGCGUCUGAUUAGCUAGUUGGUGGGGUAACGGCUCACCAAGGCGAUGAUCAGUAGGGGAACUGAGAGGUUGAUCCCCCACACUGGCACUGAGAUACGGGCCAGACUCCUACGGGAGGCAGCAGUAGGGAAUAUUGGUCAAUGGAUGCAAGUCUGAACCAGCCAUGCCGCGUGCAGGAAGAAGGCCUUCUGGGUUGUAAACUGCUUUUGCCAGGGGCUAAAAGGCCCAUGCGUGGGAAAUUGAAAGUACCUGGUGAAUAAGCCACGGCUAACUACGUGCCAGCAGCCGAC
rnacentral:rRNA from 1 species